UUCAUUGACGCUUAUUAUCUACUUAUGCAGAACAAAAACGUUGCAUUUUAGCCAACAUCUCAAAUUAUGAAAAGAAUGUAGUCUGACUAACUUGGAAGAGGAGCGCCUUCUUAAUUAAGGAUAAUUGUAAACCCUACAGAAAUUAAAUUUAAUAUUUUCUAUAAUAGAGGUCCACAACUAUUUCCCGCCUAAGGCCAAAUUUCAUCAGCAAGACAAAGCCAAGAUCCAGCGCGACAAAUAAGUCCGGCAGUUGCUGCUUUUUCCUUUAUGAAGGCAAUUCAUGAAUGACCAUAAAGUAAGCCAGUAAGACUCUGUUCCCAUGAAAUUAACCUAAAAACAAAAUAACAUUCCAACAGUACUGUAAAACAACAAAAUGGCAACAGUUAUACAUAAUAUUAAUGAUAUAUGUACUGUCUUAAACGGUUUGUACACUGCGACAGGCGAUUAAUUUCGCAGACGUUGAUCAGGUUAGAGCCGAGAGAAGAUGUUUGGCUUGAAAUAUUUAAUAUUUUUCUGCGGGCCUGUUAUCAUAGAGGCCACUAGGGGUCACGCGUGACACUCGGAAAAGCGCAUUAGAAAUCCUACCACUGGGAACAGCCCGUGCGUUACCUUGGUGUUUCCCAUCUCGUGCCGCUCAAUACAAGCCGUCAAUCUCUCCGGCUCUGACUUACUGAGGUCCAGGCGGAAGAUCUCUGAGUUUAAUUCAUCGAGGUUUCAGAAAAUUCAUAACAAUGUCUGGAUUUUUUCAAAUGCUGAGGAAAAAGAAGGAACUGAUCCCGCUGAUCGGCUUCACGGCCUUUGCGGCUGCAGGGGCCACCACUGCCUCCAUCUACUUCCUGCUGACCAAACCAGAUGUAAUCCUUAAUAAGACCAGAAACCCAGAGCCGUGGGAGAAGCUGGAUCCUUCCAGACCCCAGAAGCUCAUCACCAUCAACCAGCAGUGGAAGCCAGUGGAUGAACUCCGGCUGGUGAAGUCUCUCACCAAGUGACCUUCUCAGAGCCUAACCGAGACCCCCCAUCGCCUUCUGCCACUCACCCCCAUCAGUCUGACGGAAUCAUUCCUGCACAGGCUAGGCUCUCUAACUACCAGUGUGCGGAAAUGCUUCUGCCACAUUGGUGGGGUCUGAGCACGCUCAGUUCGCCAUUUGUGGUCCAAAAGGAUUCUGGGAGAGCAGUAUUAUCCUAAAACAGCAUCACUCUCACUGUGUGUAUAUUACCUUACCAGCUGACAUGGAAGCAGGACAAGGUCCCAGCCCACCUGCAGCCUGGCAUCACGGCACAAACCAAGCGGCGUCCGGCCAAAAGACCCAGUUUAUCAGUGAAGCCAAAGAGCACCUGGGACACAAAUCUACCCUGCAGUGUUUAUUUUCCUGGGUGUAAUCCUCCAAGUUACAAUCAGCAAAAGUAGUUAUUAAUGUGUUUUUUUUCAGCUUCUGGUCAAUUUACAAUCUGCCUCACCCUAUGCUGGGAAGUCAGGUAUGUAGUUACUGGUAAUAACCACACCCUGGCUACAAAUUUAAAUGUUUCAUGGUGCACAUUUAAUCAGAAAAUAAACAGCAGACAGUAAUUUCACCAAUAUGACCCCCAGCCCGGCGCUGCCUGCGUCAGUCGCUGGGUUCCUCAGGGACCCAGACCAGGAUUAGCAGUUAGUGGGUGGAUGGAUGGAUGACUGCAGGAUCAGCACCAUACUGGGACUGUGAUGGUUUAGCAGUUUUUAAGGUAAAGGGUGUUCAUACACACCUCCAGGAUUGUGGGUUCGAAUGCUGCAAUGGAUGU